GCUGCCAUCCCGAACUCUAAGAACUAUUUUAGGAGUGAACUCAGUGACUCAUAUCCAGGAGACUCAAAAGCAUCCAGUCUUUCAGGGCAAAUUUCAAUUUAUAAGGGGGUGUGUGUGUGUGAAAAGUUCAAAACUAAUGACUAUUAGAAAGGGCAGCCAGGCCUGGCAGUGCAGCAGGGGUGAAAUGACCUGCGGGAGAGGAGCAAUUAAGUGGCAAGCCAGUUAGGGUAGGCCCAGUUCAAAAUCUUCAAAAGAAAACUAAACUUCAGUUUCAGUUUUCAGCAAACGAGUGCUCGGUACGGCGCACGAUGGACUUGGAAAGGAUCUGUUCCUGGCUUUUUUAAUCAGCAGCUGAAAGGGUAAGUGCAUGGCUAAUCUCCCACACUUGCCACUUGUAGAAACAUAUUUUCAAUUUGUAUGCAGCAGCCCAUGAUAGGGGGGCAGCCCAAGACAAAAAGCACAUGCGGUGCCUUUCACGCGUGUUAGCCUGAAUUAUAAACAGCAGGCCAAAAUCUCAAAUGGUAAAAACAGGGGUUGCCCAGCUGGAGUAAAUGUGCUCACAAGAGCUGAAGAAGGAGCUCAGUAAAUUUGUGCACAAGAAUGGUUUUUGCUUAAAUUAAUCUUUAAUUCUUUGUAUGAAUUACACUCAUUUCUGCAACUGCAAUGAAUCUUAGUGCUGUACAACAGCAGGCUGCUCUCCAAAAUACUCCGAGACUACUAGCAGUGCUCAGCCUCUCCUCACACUUGUCUUGACCUCUUUCCCUAUAACACUGAAAAAACACCAGAUGAAUAAUUACAGUCCAGGACACGGCAGCAGAAACCUGUUACUUAACUUUUACAUUUGAACACCUGUUUGUCUUAUUUCUACAUAUAAUCCCCUGAAACCUGUGUCAGUGAAAAUGGGAGCAAAGGUGUCUUUGGAGAGAAGAGGCCUGAGGAAUUAAUUCAUUUUGAAUUACCUGUGUAAAUGUACAAGCUGCACUGCUGCCGGAUCAAGGGAUCUCAGUGCAGAACUCGACUCAACGGUGGCUUCCUUUCCCCUCCCUUUGGCAAAGCUUCAGACCGAAAGGUCACUUGAAACGCAGUAACGCCGCUUGGCACACUCAGAGAGUCGUUUCGUACCUACGUUUCGAAGCUGUUUGCUCAGGCUGGUUAGUCCCAGCUUAACGCACGGCUCCGAGCUGCCUCCAGACACGGUUUAUCAAGAGGAAGGUCUUGAUCCCCCUUCUCCUCCCAUCUAGUGACUCAUGGGACCACUGUACCCAAGGAGACCUUCCUCCUUGCACCAGACCCGACAACCUCUGUUAGAAACACACCAGAGAAAACACUUCCAGCCACAUCGUGUCCUGCUUUCUCUGCUACUCCUUUGCAAGUAUCACUACGGCCUCUCUCAACAACCCCUCCUGUACUCGUGAUAUUAAAUCCAUCAGUAAAAUGAGGACAAACAAAGUGGUGUUUCUACAGAUACUUCGUUUCCAAACUUUGUCUUUGAUGAAGAAGCCGGCGACACAACAGUCCAUGAGAACAGUGCGCAAGUGUUUUUCUACACUUAAAUCCAAAAAUAAAACCUCUCCUGGCUUUAAUGCACAAUUCUUCAAUAGGAAUCCAUACACCUUUCAGUUUUGCAACGAGAUGGAAACAGAUGAGAAGCGCCGACAUGAGCAACAUCUCUUGGAUCUUCCCUUCUGCCAGUUACCCACCGAACAAAACCGUGACCGACGGCCCAGAACAGCCGCCACAAAGCAGUGGUAAUAAGUGAAGGGGAUCACAAGUGUGAGAGGAAUUAACAUCUUUUUCAAAUCUGCUCGAUGCUGCAUGAAGGAAGCAAAUUUUGCAGGAAAUUUAAGGCUUCUGGUCAAGAGGGAACUUUCUGUUGAACAAUCAGUUCAGAAACAGGAUUCAGCAUCAGUGUUUGAAAUGCAGCUGGAGAGGGUUUAACAUAAACCAAAUGACAAAUUACACACGUAUAAUCGGAAUGAUUAGUGUAAUGUGAAAACAGCUUGAGAAUUAAUGGGGAAAAAACGCAAAGCAAAAUAAAACCUAAUUAAAAUACAGUACUGUAAUGACUACACACUCACAUGCUUCGUUCUGGCUGCCUAUAAAUCAGCGACAUAUUAGGGAGGAACUCAAGCAUUUCUAUAAAAUUGUUAAUUCUUUCUUCAAGUCACUAAGGGAAAAAAAUAAUAUUGGUGAAAAUGUGAUUCUCAGGAGAAAACUGAUGACAGAUUCUUUGUUUAGGCCUGGGGUUUGUUUUUAAAGACAACGGUCUCCAUAUAACCAUCUAUAUGCAUUUAUUAAAACAACAACAACAAAGACUGGGGUAAAUAUAUACAAAAAUAGCCCCAUCAGGUCACAGAGCACCUCCAUGGCUGCAAAUUUAAACUGGAAUCUGAUUAGAUUCCAAGGGUGAAAUACCAGGAUGAGGGACUACUGGUAUUUAUACAGAAAAUCCUGAUCAGGUGGAUUUUUAUUUCUGUGUCUGUAAUCUCAAACAACUAUCUGGCUCGUUUUGUGUUUUACAUAAAACCCAAACCUUGCUUCAGGGACUAAAUUAAAUUCAUUUUUUGGUUUUUAAAUGGCCUCUAAACACACACGCAAUCAUCUGCGUCACUCAGCGCUACUUGGAUGCAACUGUAUUUAGACAGCUGACAAGAAAGUGGGGACUGAAGAUAAAGGAGGAUGUGGCAAGGAAGAGGACAAGAAUAGCAUCCAAGUAGUAAACCGAGAGUUAAAUACAUUGAAAUGGAAUGAUCAAUAUAUGCUAGCGGUAAUUAAAAGCCUGAUAAGGAAUAUAUGGAACUGUUGAUCUGAGAUCCACUUCAUAUUAAUCCUAAAAAACAUUAAUGAAACCAGAUUAUAUUCGCAAUUGAUCUGCCUCUGUUACUCUGAAGAAAGUCUGCUCACCACAGGAGAAAAAAAGGACUUAGUGCACACACUUCCUCAGCAUCAACGGGGGAAUUGUUACAACAGAAACGGGACCAAAAUCCAGCGGGCACAGCUGUGUGUCUCUUUAAAGCGCCAACUCUUUUAUGUCACCUGCCAACCAGGCAAAGCAGGACUUUGCAGAAGGGCCACAAAGAGCACGACUCAAGUCAAAAAGAAUACUUUAACUGACCUACCAGAAGCCUUAAGAAGAGCUAAAUAUUAAAAAAAUUGCUUUAAGGCAUCCUCAGCACUAACAAUUGAUAGCACUGAAUGUAAUAAAAACACUUGCUAAAAGA